rnacentral:misc_RNA from 1 species
GGCCAUUUCAUAGUACUGGCAUCUCC